rnacentral:lncRNA from 1 species
AAAAUUGUUGAGAAGAAAUCUGACAGAUGUAUAGUGUUUAAGAACUGCACAGGGCAGGAUAACUAUGUUGCCUCACAAAAUCAAAUUGAAAAGAUUUUAGGUGAUCGUACACUAAGAAUAUAUUAUUAUCUCACUGGAGAAUGGAAAGUCAACGUGUGUGGAGAAAACACUGGCGAUAUCAUAGAUGAACUGCAGGAGAAAGGAAGGAUAACAACUAGGCAAACAGGAAUCCCAUCAAGUUCAACAAAAGGAAGUGCAAAGUCCUGCAGCUGGAAAGGUGUAAUUCCAUCUACCAGUAUGGUCUGGGAGCCAGUCAACUGGUAAGCAGCUUUGCAGGAAAGGAUUUGGGGUCCUGGUGAAUACCAAAUUGGCCAUGAGCUAGCAAUGCAUGCUUGCAGCAAAGGCUAACAGCUUCCUGGGCUGCAUUACAAGAGCAUCGUGAGCUGGUCAAGGGAGAUGAUUCUUCCCCUCUGCUCAGCAAUGGUGAGGCACAGCUGGAAAGCUGUGUCCAGCACUAGGCUUCUGAAUACAAGAAGAUGCAGAUACACUUGAGUAGGUCUAGUGAGGGGCCAUGAAGAUUAUUAAAGGAUAGGAGCAUCUGGCUUAAGAGCUGAUCUGGCUUAAGAGCUCCAUCUGGCUGAUGGAGCUGCCUGUGGCUGUUUAACCUGUUAAGAGAAAGUUCAGGGAUGAUUUUAGCAGUGUGUAUAAAUGUCUGAUAGGGGGAGACUAAAGAAGAAUGGAUCCAGGUUCUCAUCAAUAGCAGUCAAUGAAUGGUUAAGCAGAAAUGGGCAUAAACUGAAGUGCAGGAAAUUGCAUUUAAACAUAAGAAAAUGAAUUUUUACUGCGAGGGUGGUCAACCACUAUUUGGCCAGAGAAAACGCGGGAAAUAACGAGUUAUGAAAAAAGCAGCUUUUUCAUUCAUGAUUGCUUCUUGUGUUCCUCCAAUGUUGUGUCAAUUCAAGUCUUCCAGAAGGUCUUAAUGAAAAGAUUUGCACAUCAGCUAGAUUGUUGCAGACUCACACUAUACUCACAUUCAUCAGUAUAAAUAUUAAACAAAGAAGAGAUAUUAAAAAUCACAUAUGACCUGGAUUGAAAUUGAACUGAACUAAAGCAUCUGUCUUUUUGUCUUAAUAUGACUAUAAUCAUCACACAUAUACACAGGUGUAUAAAAGCAGAACACUUCUUUA